rnacentral:rRNA from 1 species
CGCUGGCGGCGCGCCUAACACAUGCAAGUCGAACGAGAAAGAGGGAGCUUGCUCCCUUGAUCGAGUGGCGAACGGGUGAGUAACGCGUGGGUAACCUGCCUUAUACAGGGGGAUAACAGUUGGAAACGACUGCUAAUACCGCAUAAGCGCACGGUAUCGCAUGAUACAGUGUGAAAAACUCCGGUGGUAUAAGAUGGACCCGCGUCUGAUUAGCUUGUUGGUGAGGUAACGGCCCACCAAGGCGACGAUCAGUAGCCGGCCUGAGAGGGUGAACGGCCACAUUGGGACUGAGACACGGCCCAAACUCCUACGGGAGGCAGCAGUGGGGAAUAUUGCACAAUGGGGGAAACCCUGAUGCAGCGACGCCGCGUGAGUGAUGAAGUAUUUCGGUAUGUAAAACUCUAUCAGCAGGGAAGAUAAUGACGGUACCUGACUAAGAAGCACCGGCUAAAUACGUG